rnacentral:rRNA from 1 species
UGCCAGCAGCCGCGGUAAUACGGAAGGUGCGAGCGUUAAUCGGAAUUACUGGGCGUAAAGCGCACGUAGGUGGCUUGGUAAGUCGGAUGUGAAAGCCCUGGGCUCAACCUGGGAAUUGCAUUCGAUACUGCUUAGCUAGAGUAUGAGAGAGGGUGGUAGAAUUUCAGGUGUAGCGGUGAAAUGCGUAGAGAUCUGAAGGAAUACCGAUGGCGAAGGCAGCCACCUGGGUCGAUAUUGACGCUCAUGUACGAAAGCGUGGGGAGCAAACGGGAUUAGAUA